rnacentral:rRNA from 1 species
CAGAGGGGGCAAGCGUUGUUCGGAAUUACUGGGCGUAAAGGGCGCGUAGGCGGCCUGUUAAGUCGAACGUGAAAUCCCCGGGCUCAACCCGGGAACUGCGUCCGAUACUGGCAGGCUUGAAUCCGGGAGAGGGAUGCGGAAUUCCAGGUGUAGCGGUGAAAUGCGUAGAUAUCUGGAGGAACACCGGUGGCGAAGGCGGCAUCCUGGACCGGCAUUGACGCUGAGGCGCGAAAGCCAGGGGAGCAAACGGGAUUAGAUACCCCGGUAGUCCUGGCCCUAAACGAUGAAUGCUUGGUGUGGCGGGUAUCGAUCCCUGCCGUGCCGAAGCUAACGCAUUAAGCAUCCGCCUGGGGAGUACGGUCGCAAGGCUG